GAUGAACGCUGGCGGCGUGCCUAAUACAUGCAAGUCGAGCGAACGGACGAGAAGCUUGCUUCUCUGAUGUUAGCGGCGGACGGGUGAGUAACACGUGGAUAACCUACCUAUAAGACUGGGAUAACUUCGGGAAACCGGAGCUAAUACCGGAUGAUAUUUUGAACCGCAUGGUUCAAAAGUGAAAGACGGUCUUGCUGUCACUUAUAGAUGGAUCCGCGCUGCAUUAGCUAGUUGGUAAGGUAACGGCUUACCAAGGCAACGAUGCAUAGCCGACCUGAGAGGGUGAUCGGCCACACUGGAACUGAGACACGGUCCAGACUCCUACGGGAGGCAGCAGUAGGGAAUCUUCCGCAAGGGGCGAAAGCCUGACGGAGCAACGCCGCGUGAGUGAUGAAGGUCUUCGGAUCUUAAAACUCUGUUAUUAGGGAAGAACAUAUGUGUAAGUAACUGUGCACAUCUUGACGGUACCUAAUCAGAAAGCCACGGCUAACUACGUG
rnacentral:rRNA from 1 species